CCCCCACACCCUGUGCAGUAUAAAGGUGGGGAAACGCAGGAGAGCACACACACACACUCCUCCCAUCUUCAGUCUCUCUGAGCACGUCAUGAACUCUGCUCUCCUGUUCUGGGUCCUGUCCCUAGCAUGCUGGUGCACAGUAACUUUGGGAAGUGAGGUCACUCGUACCCCCGCAUCGGAGGAGAGGAGCAGCGUGACAUCAUCAGGGACUGACAUUCAGAGCUCAGCUGAUGAGGACAAUGAGCUGGAACAGAAUGACUUUGCAGAAUUACCGCUGGCAGUUCAGUAUCUCGCUAAAAAGGAGGGAAGAAACCGAAAAAAGGGGAAAGGAAAGAAACGGCACAAGGGAGCCUCCCACAGCACGCCCAGCGACGCCCCGAGCCACGCCCCCACCCACACGCCCGGCCACACCUCCGCACAGGUGGAGGGCGAGGACCUCUGCCUCACCACCCAUCAGCACUACUGCAUACACGGGGACUGCAAGUACAUGGCCGACCUACGCGAGCCCACAUGCGUGUGCAUGAUGGGAUAUGACGGGGAGCGCUGUGGGAUCCAGCUGAUGAAGACUGAGCUAAAGAAGGCGGACGAGGAGGUGGUGCAGACUGUGCUGGUGGUGAUCGCUGUUGUCUUGUCCCUCAUCAGCUGCUGUGCUAUCCUGCUCAUGAUCUGUGCACAGUGAGUUCACCUGAACACACCUGCACUCACACCUGCACACACACCUGUACACAGCUCACACUCGUACACACCUGCACACACACCUGUACACAGCUCACACCUACAGUCUCACCUAUACACACCUCCCAUCGUCUAUACACAGCUUUUAUAUAUUUGUCCUUUAUUUAAACAGACAAUUGAGGUCUAACUGAGGUCAAGAUUUCUUUUUCAAUAGAGACCUGCUAAAUAUAAACCCUAUUUAAAAGCUCUAUACAGGACCAACACAGUGCAGAGGUACAUCAGCAUACAGCAGUCACACAUCAAACAAUAAGCAGAUUAAAGGAGGCAUGUGCAAGCAGUAUUAUUCUGUACACUCUCCUGCGCAGAGCUCGCAACUGUUGACAAUCACACAAGAGCAGCAAUCAAUCCCAUUUCAAUUCAGCCAAUUCACAUAUACUGAAAUUCAAUUUAUUAACUGCAAAGAAACUGAUAGGAUAUUAUGGUCAUUUUUCUGCUCAUGAAUUCGAUUUCGACUGUUCCAGACUCUGCUACACACGUCAGAAUGCAGCCACACAGACCUGUAAAAGCAGCCAAAACAGACUAGCAUAAAGAUAUCUACAUAUCUCAGCGUAUUGGAACCUGCGCAAGCCGUCCUUCGUAGCAGCGCACAUUGCACAAACACACCUGAUAAGUCCUGGCCCAGCCACAGGUAUUUCCUGUAAGCUUGCCACACCUGUGUCACUUGUAGGCCAAAGGCCAAAGCGGGGACAGAGUCGAAUAUAAAUCUCUCCAAUGAGACUCAGUCGGACAGUCAGUGACAGAACAGGUGCAGAGCAGAACGUUUUUUAACCUGUAGUACACUCUGCAGAUUAAAGACUAAGAGUAUUUCAGGAGUAAAGGGUGAGUAUUAGGGGGAAAAAAACAGAGUAUUGGAGGAGUAAAGGGUGAGAUAUUGGGGAAGUAAAGAGUGAGUAUUACGGAAG